GAAUAAUAAACAUUUGCAUAAAGAUCUCAAUAAUAUGGACAUUCUUGUGAUAGACAUGAUUUCCAAUUACCCCUAUUAAACAAUGUGUACUCUAAGAUUGUUUUAGGGGGAAAAUUGUCAUUAUAAACAUUUGCAUAAAGAAGCAAAGCACUUGGAUGGAACAUGCUUUAUGCAAUAGGAUGGAACAUUUAAUACAUAAAGGGAAUGAAAAGAAUAAUUUUUAGUUUCAAAUUUAUAAAAUACGCAAUAAAUCUAAGUCCAUCUGUUAAUUACAUUUAAUAUGGAAAAAACAAGUCUCCA
rnacentral:misc_RNA from 1 species